rnacentral:tRNA from 1 species
CCUGACCUAGCUCAAUGGCAGAGCGCUCGGCUGUGGACCGGGAGAUUCGGGUUCAAUUCCCGGGGUCAGGA